GGAGCGUCCUUAACUUUCCUCUUUCAUUAGUUCUGCUGGUUUGGGGCUUUUGAGGUCUCGAGGAAGCCUCACGUGGCCUUGGGACAACCUUCGCCCUAGGGUGCCCCAGUCUGGGAAAGGCGGGUCCUUUCAGACCCUCUAGCGCCCAGUGGGCCGGGCUGGGAAAGUUCCCCAGCUGCACUUCUGGGAUCUGGCAACGUUACGCACCACUUUCUCUGCACUCGUCCGCAGUUUUGCAGCCCCAGGUUGGUUACAAACCAGUUCAGGCCAACUCCGCUAGCCUCCGUCUCCAGGGCCGGCCGCUCCUCUGCAGCAGCGGGAAGAGGCACCCGGAGCAAUGGGGAAAUGCAUGCCCCUGCCUACGCGCAGCUCGGAUUCUUGGCCAUUCCGGACUGGUCUUCACAGGUUCUGGAUCCCUCCGGGAUUAGCGCCCCUCCAGCCCAGGCUGUUUAACCCAAACCCAUCUGCUGCAGCUCGAGACUUUUAAUCGUUUGCUUUUCUCUUCAUUGGCUGGAGUCACCACUGGAGAGUGAUCCGGACAGGGCGGUGAAGUCCCCAUUUCGGUGCAGAGUCCUUUGCAAGUGACAUUGUGAAGUAGGCAAACACUAUGCCUUUGAGUGACAUUGUGAAGUUGGCGGAGGGUGCCCUAGGUGACAUUGUGAAGUAGGCAAAAGGUUACAGGAAAGGACUAAAGCCUGAAUGGUACCUGACAAUCUAUAUAUGUAAAAGGCUAAGUAACUGAUCAUACGUACAUCCAACCGUCCGACUGACCGACCAGCUGGUACGUAUGAUGUGCACCAGCAAUUUAAAAAUAAACGUUGACUCGUA